ACGACUCUCGGCAACGGAUAUCUCGGCUCUCGCAUCGAUGAAGAACGUAGCGAAAUGCGAUACUUGGUGUGAAUUGCAGAAUCCCGUGAACCAUCGAGUCUUUGAACGCAAGUUGCGCCCUAAGCCGUCAGGCCGAGGGCACGCCUGCCUGGGCGUCACGCAACGUCG
rnacentral:rRNA from 1 species